rnacentral:rRNA from 1 species
AGAACGAACGCUGGCGGCAGGCUUAACACAUGCAAGUCGAGCGCCCCGCAAGGGGAGCGGCAGACGGGUGAGUAACGCGUGGGAACAUACCCUCCGGUUCGGAAUAGCUCAGGGAAACUUGGAUUAAUACCGGAUACGGCCUAGCGGCGAAAGAUUCAUCGCCGGAGGAUUGGCCCGCGUUCGAUUAACUAGUUGGUGAGGUAACGGCUCACCAAGGCGACGAUCGAUAGCUGGUCUGAGAGGAUGAUCAGCCACAUUGGGACUGAGACACGGCCCAAACUCCUACGGGAGGCAGCAGUGGGGAAUAUUGGACAAUGGGCGCAAGCCUGAUCCAGCCAUGCCGCGUGAGUGAUGACGGCCUUAGGGUUGUAAAGCUCUUUCGCUAGGGACGAUAAUGACGGUACCUAGACAAGAAGCCCGGCUAACUUCGUGCCAGCAGCCGC